rnacentral:rRNA from 1 species
CAGUCGCCACGGUAAUACAGAGGGUGCGAGCGUUAAUCGGAUUUACUGGGCGUAAAGCGUGCGUAGGCGGCUUCUUAAGUCGGAUGUGAAAUCCCUGAGCUUAACUUAGGAAUUGCAUUCGAUACUGGGAAGCUAGAGUAUGGGAGAGGAUGGUAGAAUUCCAGGUGUAGCGGUGAAAUGCGUAGAGAUCUGGAGGAAUACCGAUGGCGAAGGCAGCCAUCUGGCCUAAUACUGACGCUGAGGUACGAAAGCAUGGGGAGCAAACAGGAUUAGAUACCCGCGUAGUCCUUGUCUCUUAUAC